rnacentral:lncRNA from 1 species
GGUCGCGGAUCCGUCCGCAGGGCACCGGAUCCAGAGGGAGUUGGGGCGGAGGUCCCAUGGAGGGUGCUCCAUCGACGCCAUGAGCGAACCUGAAGCUCCUACAGUUCCUGCUCUCAUACAGAAAAGAGAGAGAGCAUCAGAGAUUAGAGGGAGCAGAGGAAAAACGGAGGGAGGAGAAGACGAUCUGAUCUACUGGGUGCGCUCUUGACGGGC